rnacentral:rRNA from 1 species
AACGAACGCUGGCGGCAUGCCUAACACAUGCAAGUAGAACGAGACCUUCGGGUCUAGUGGCGCACGGGUGCGUAACGCGUGGGAACCUGCCCUUAGGUUCGGAAUAACUCCCCGAAAGGGGUGCUAAUACCGGAUAAUGUCUUCGGACCAAAGAUUUAUCGCCUUUGGAUGGGCCCGCGUUGGAUUAGCUAGUUGGUAGGGUAAAAGCCUACCAAGGCGACGAUCCAUAGCUGGUCUGAGAGGAUGAUCAAACACACUGGGACUGAGACACGGCCCAGACUCCUACGGGAGGCAGCAGUGGGGAAUAUUGGACAAUGGGCGAAAGCCUGAUCCAGCAAUGCCGCGUGAGUGAUGAAGGCCUUAGGGUUGUAAAGCUCUUUUACCCGGGAUGAUAAUGACAGUACCGGGAGAAUAAGCUCCGGCUAACUCCGUG